CCGGGUGCGUAACGCGUAUGCAAUCUACCCUUUACUGGGGAAUAGCCCGGAGAAAUUCGGAUUAACACCGCAUAAUAUGUUGAGGAGGCAUCUUUUUAACAUUAAAUCUACGGAGGUAAAGGAUGAGCAUGCGUCUGAUUAGUUAGUUGGUGAGGUAACGGCUCACCAAGACGAUGAUCAAUAGGGGUUCUGAGAGGAAGGUCCCCCACACUGGUACUGAGAUACGGACCAG
rnacentral:rRNA from 1 species